rnacentral:rRNA from 1 species
AAUGAACGCUGGCGGCGUGCUUUACACAUGCAAGUCGAGCGAGGCGUGGAGCAAUCCACAGUCGAGCGGCGAACGGGUGAGUAACGCGUGGAUGACCUGCCCUUCAGCGGGGAAUAACCC